GGCCAGGAGCAGCCUAGCAAUAUGGCGCAACCCCAUCUCUGUAGUCCAACCUCAGCCUCCCAACUACUUGAACACCAAGGUUCAAGGCUCCAGUGAGCUAUGAUCCCACCACAGAACUCCUGCCUGCGAGACUGAGACGAUGAUGAUUCUCCAUCUUCUAAGAGACCAAAGACCAACGAGCCACCACAGCCACCAGUUCCAGAACCUGCCAAUGUUGGGCAACAGAAAGUGAGGGAGUUCAACUCUGACAUGAACUUGUGAGUUCGACACAUGAAGAUUUACAACUUGAUAAACCAGCUUCAGGAGUAAAGGAAGAAUGGUAUGCCAGAAUCACUAAAUUAAGAAAGAUGGUGGAUCAGCUUUUCUGCAAAAAAUUUUGUAACUCCAGUUGGACUCUAUUGUUUCCAAGUCGACUUUCGUCCUCAUCCACAGCUCCUCCACACGAGCCCUGAACACCUGUUCAUAUUUGUUGACAGCGGUUUCCUGGAGUGCUGUCUUGAACGAUUCUGAACAGACUCAGCAAGAAAGUGUGUUUCAGUUGAUUGGGGGUGUCUGUCAUGGAGAAGGAAGUAAGGAGUGAGGAGCAUGCACAGCAUUCCCGGGGCAUUCCUGUCCAUUGUCUCAAUACCUGGUGCUGACGUUUCCUGUCCUUUAUCAGGAAUACUGGCUAUUCUGCGUCUGAUCACUUGAACUUAUUGAAGCUCUUGGACUCACUGAGGCAGUAAAAGUACCAUAUCCUGUGUUUGAAUCAAACCCCGAGUUCCUGUAUGUAGAAGCCUUGCCAGACAGGAUUUCCUUUCAAAGCCCUCCUGGUUUGGAAUUCCAUGACUUGAAAGGAUCGUCCAUGGAGACCUGAACUAGUUAUUUCCUACUUGCCUCCUGGAAUGGCUAAUAAACACUAAAGCUUCGCAGUUUCUGAAAAGACCAUGAAGCCCUGAGAGUAAUGAAAAGCUUCCUAACAUUGAGGUCACUGUGGAAGCCUCAACCAAGAUGUCUCACCCCAUCCUCUAUGAUGCAACAAGAAGCCCCUGGGGAACGUUUCAGUCCCACUCUGUACUUCUGUCAUUGUGCUCAUCACAGUCUGAACCAGCUAAGCUGAAGAUUACCUUGAGAACAAGGGCUAGCCUGUGAUUUCAUGGCCUUUCUUCCAUUUGUGGUUCUUACCAAGUGGAAUUUAAGUGACCUCUUAUCAAGAUGGAUAAACCCAAGUUUCCCAGUGCUGGAAUAUAGAAAACGGAUGGACAACUGAAUCUACCAUGAAAGACUUCAGAGACCAGGAAGAGAGACUGAUUGGGCAACAUCUUAUUCAGAAGCAGGACCUUGCUCUGUCACUCAGGAUGGAGUUCAGUUGUCCUAUCAUG